ACCAAGGGACCUAGUGAAUCUGGUCAGUUUCAGGAACUUCCUGAAACUAUUCUGAGUUAGUUUGCCUCUGGCUUCAGGAGCUUCUGGGAUGGUGGACGGUUCCGAUCUCAGAGGAACUGAUAAGCAUAAGUUCGUUGUUUUACUUACUAACCCCACAAAAUAACUCAGGGCCCUGGAUCUGAUGCCUACAUGAAGUCUAGCCAUGUGAUUUGAGUUAAAAUUAGAUGGCUGGCUCUCAGUUUUUUAAUUUAAUAUAGUAAAACAGAACUAAACAAAUUUAUCAUGAAGUAGAAAACCUUUCUUCAGGAAACUUAGAGUGAUCUUCCCGGCAUGGUUUGUAAAUUCCUUUCUUGGUCAUCAUACCAGCAUGCAGUGUCCAGGCCAGUUCCUGCCCCGCCCCUCUUUUCUACUAGCUUCCAGGAAUUACAGAUGAUGUCCAAAUCCUGCUGGGUGGUAUCCUUAGUAAGACCUUUAAAACUUAUACAUUGUGGUGUACCUGCUUUUGUUUAGCAUUCAUUUUCAUUUUCUUGAGUGUCUUUUGAAUAUCCAGCAUGGUGUCGGUCAGAGGGAACUUCAGAGAAUGAAAAAAAAAUCUCCCAUCACUAGAGUCUUAUGUUCCUGAGAGUUAGAGAAUAGUGGUCAAAUGCCUAUACAUGCAGUUGGGCCAGCUCGCAGCCUUGUGUUGGAGACCUAAAACACAUGAGGGAGUAUUGGAAGCUUAGAUAGGGUAUUCACUUAAUCUGUGGCACUGAAAGUAAUCAAUAGAAGCAUUUAAAUCAUUAAAAAAUUAUUUUGUAUGGAUGGGUAUUUUGCCUACCCUCAUGUCUGGUGACUGGAGGCCAGAAGAAGGCAUCCGAUUCCCUGGAACUGAUCUUACAAUGGCUGUGAGCCACCAUGUGGGUGCCAGGAGUUGUGCCAUCUGUGCCGCCCACAGCAGAGCAUCUUACACGGAAUAGAUGACAGCUGUCUGGACGUUAGUUACCGGUUCACACGGAAGCACGGGCAGACCAAGUGGCUCUCUCUCUCCCUUAGCUUUUUUUCUCAUUCUCGCUCAUUUUUCUUUUCUAAAGGUGUGUGUGUGUGUGUGUGUGUGUGUGUGUGUGUAAUUGCUGCAUGUAUGGGUGCCAGCAUGGGCAAGAAGAGAACAGUCAGUCCCCUAGAGCCAGUUACAGCCAGUUGUGACCCAUUGGCAUGGGUACUGGGACCCAAAUUUGAGUCUUCUGGAAGAGUAACAAACUUUAACUGCUAAGCCGUCUUCCUAGCCCCAGAUGCUCAUUUUCCAGUACUCAGAUAUAAAGCCAGUUAUGUUUCUACUUCCUCAUGAUCAUUUAGAAUAAUUCCUAACUCCGGGAUCUAAAACAUUUAUAGCCUGUUUAUAGUAUUUGUGACCUUAUUUAGGCAUUAUUUCUAAAGUUCUGUUUCUGUUUCUGCAGUGUAUCAUUCUUGUCAUAGUGAGGAGAAGUGUCCCCCCUGUACCUUCUUAACUCAGAAGUGGUGCAUGGGCAAGCAUGAGUUACGAAGCAACAUCCCCUGUCACCUGGUUGACAUCUCUUGCGGAUUACCCUGUAGUGCCAUGCUACCCUGCGGGAUGCACAAAUGUCAAAGACUCUGUCACAGAGGAGAAUGUCUUGUGGACGAGGCCUGCAAGCAGCCCUGUACCACCCCCAGAGCUAACUGUGGCCACCCAUGUAUGGCACCCUGCCACCCCAGUUCACCCUGCCCUGUGACAGCUUGUAAAGCCAAGGUAGAGUUACAGUGUGAAUGUGGGAGAAGAAGAGAAAUGGUGAUCUGCUCGGAAGCAUCCGGCACCUAUCACAGGUGAGUGCUGCAGCUGUCCUCG